CUGUACAUCCACAAGUUUUUUUUACUGGUGCCAUGCUCAGGCCUGUCACUGACACAACUUUCACCAUCAAGGGGAUGCACAGAAUUAUUCGUACAGCUGAGCAAAGAGGAACCUGGUGACAUAUCUCACAUAGGAAGUGUCUCAUCGCUCAGCACAACAAACAUAGUUUGGUCAGCAUGCUGAAACAGCACUCUAAAGCUCCUAUCCCACUGGACAACAAACCCACUAACACCCACUAACAUCUGGCUUUUGUCUUCAGUGUGAAAGGUUACAAUCGAUUUUCAUUCCUGAGAACAAAUGAGUCUGCAGUAGUCACAGGUAUUUAUCCGUUCCAGCUCCAAUCGGCAGUGAUGGAAACAUGACUCCUGAGUGGACACGCUAAUUUUCGCCCCUUCUCUGCACCGCAAUUCUUUGUGA